GGAGAGGUGCCGGAGUGGACGAACGGGCACGCCUGGAGAGCGUGUGUACCUUCGGGUACCGUGGGUUCGAAUCCCACCCUCUCCG
rnacentral:tRNA from 1 species